CCUACGAGAGGCAGCAGUGGGGAAUAUUGGACAAUGGGCGCAAGCCUGAUCCAGCCAUACCGCGUGUGUGAAGAAGGCCUUUUGGUUGUAAAGCACUUUAAGCGAGGAGGAGGCUCUUGAGGAUAAUACCCUUGAUGAGUGGACGUUACUCGCAGAAUAAGCACCGGCUAACUCUGUGCCAGCAGCCGCGGUAAUACAGAGGGUGCGAGCGUUAAUCGGAAUUACUGGGCGUAAAGCGCGCGUAGGCGGCUUGUUAAGUCGGAUGUGAAAUCCCCGGGCUCAACCUGGGCACUGCAUUCGAUACUGGCAAGCUAGAGUAUGGGAGAGGAAGGUAGAAUUCCAGGUGUAGCGGUGAAAUGCGUAGAGAUCUGGAGGAAUACCGAUGGCGAAGGCAGCCUUCUGGCCUAAUACUGACGCUGAGGUGCGAAAGCAUGGGGAGCAAACAGGAUUAGAUACCCUGGUAGUCCAUGCCGUAAACGNUGUACAACUAGCCGGUUGGGACCUUGAGUUCUUUAGUGGCGACAGCUAACGCGAAUUAAGUUCGACCCGCGUAGGGGACGUACGGUCGACGAAGUAACCUAAAACGUACGAAAAGGUAGUUAGGACCGGCGUUAGGGACGGACGUUCGGACCCGAAGGGGCCACGACGGAGGGGGAUUAGGGG
rnacentral:rRNA from 1 species